GGGGAUGAUCGGUUUCGACAUCGGUCGCCGUCCCAGGGGAAGCGGGCCGAGGAUGCAGAGUUAUCUCGUUAACGCCCUCUGCAAACCAAUAGGUGCCGAUUCCAAGCGCACCGACUUCGCCCUCGCCGCCUGAGCGAGCCCGAAGUCUGUCAGCCUGAGCUAGUUCUCGACUCAGUGUCUGGCAUCAGCUAGAGAACUUGCUGCAGCGUCAUGUCGAGGGGCGCUGCGGGACUCUUACUCGACUGGGCCUGUCACGGAAUGUGUGCGUACCAGCCGUGGGGCCGAGAAAAUCCUCAUACGCACUGCGCCCGGAGAAGCCCUGGAUCGCCGUCGAUGGACGGGGGUUCAAUUCCCCCCAUCUCCACCA
rfam:Dermacoccus sp. PE3 Contig3, whole genome shotgun sequence.